rnacentral:rRNA from 1 species
UAAUACAGAGGUCCCAAGCGUUGUUCGGAUUUACUGGGCGUAAAGGGUGCGUAGGUGGCGGGGUAAGUCUGGUGUGAAAGCUCCGAGCUCAACUCGGAAAAGCAUUGGAAACUAUCCCGCUUGAGGGUCGGAGGGGAGACUGGAAUUCUCGGUGUAGCAGUGAAAUGCGUAGAUAUCGAGAGGAACACCAGUGGCGAAGGCGAGUCUCUGGACGACUCCUGACACUGAGGCACGAAAGCUAGGGGAGCAAACGG